AACCCCUGCGUUAGAAAAAAAGAGAAGUGACUGCAAGGUGAUGAUAAAAUUGGUUUUUUUUCCCUUCAGGAUCCUGAUUCUCAUCUCGGUAAACUGACAUUUCUUCAUGGCAAUGAAUUCCUUCAUUGCUGUCUUCCAUGUUCUGAAUCUGCCAGCAGCAGUGAUGGAGGGAUGCUGGAUGAAGUGAUUCCACUGGAGAAGGGCUCUGUGCUUUGCACAAGCUCAGGUCUGGAACUCAAUAAAAGAAUGGAUUUUCUAGGGCAGGCAAAAGAUAGUAAAGUCUUCUGGAAGUGGAGGUUCCAGAUACCAUAAGUCAUGGUUAGUACUUAUUUUUAUUGUUUCUGUGGCACUACUUGAGAUGCGUUUGUCAGAAUAUCUGCCCUGAAUUCAGUGAGAGCCUGAUGAUUUUGCAUUAACAAGUCCCAGUCACUCCACCAAGCAAGUUACCCUGGUGCCAGUGUAUCCAAAAUGUGGAGUUUCACACCUGCAGUACCAGAAUUGAGCACGGAUAUCAAAAGCAUCCGGUUCUUGUUAGAAGAGUUAUUGCAAUAUUGAUAAUGAG
rnacentral:lncRNA from 13 species